UUGUGCCAAUAAAGGGAGUAUAAGCUCAAACUUGCCUCAGAGGCACAGUCCAGGGUACCUGCUUCCCCGUUUGGACUGGAUUGGACUUGAGUCACUUUCUGGGGCACACUCAAUCCUGUAGAAACAAUCAGAAGACAGCUGAUCAUCUGAUAUAGUGAAUAAAACAUUGUAAGAAUUAGACUAAUUUAAGAUUUAAAGACAAACUAUAUUGAAGUCACAGUUUGCUGUCUUUUCUCCCAUUCCCCUUUCCUCCUCUAGCCGAUGUGAAUCACCAUACUGGCUGUGUACAAUCUUUUAUCUGUAAAAAUCCUGACCAGUCUGGAUCAUCUGAAUCAGAAGGGAUUAAUAACACCAACACCCACAGCAGGCCGGAGAGUGGCACGCGGCUUGGACUUCUCUGUACAAUAUGUUUCACUCUGCCUCAGCCUCAGAGUUCAGGAACUCUGAGUCCUUGGCAUAUGUAAAGACUUCCUGGUUCCUAUGCUACUCUCCCAAGCAGGAAAUGUAGUUCAUAAUUCACAAGACCAUGACUUGCUGCAAGAAGCUCAAUACCUAGAAAGUGAACCUGAGGAGAAGGAGGGACUGAUGCAUAUGUACCUGCCACAUGGGCAGUAUCUGGAUCUCACUCGUGAAAGACGAGUACCAGUCCAGUACUCAGGGACAGCAAGAUGAAAUCUAUGACAGCACUGAGGGCCUAGUAAAGAUGACCAAGGCAGAGAGAUGAACUCUGUUUCUGAACCACAUCACUGAAGAGUUUAGAUAGAAAAGAUGCUUGAAAUAUGCCUUAAAUCACGAAUGACUUUCCCAGGAAAAGAAUGGAGAAGAAAAUUCUUGUUCAGUUGAAUCAGCAUGGCUCUGGAUUGAGUGGUUACAUGAGUGAGGUCAUUUUGUGCUUGCAUCAGAAAUGUUAAUGUGGCCCUGACCUUGAAGAAUAAACUGUGUCUUUAGGGAAUUGUUCCCUUCCAAUGUCUUAUUUUCAACCUUUUGAGCUUAGACAUUAUUUAGGUGGAUGGGUGGACACAUACAUAAAUUAAAACAAGAUAUAAAAAUAAGUUGAAACAGAAUAGGAGAGAAUAAUUUUAAAGAGAUAAUCUCUGGCUACCUGAGUAUGUGUGAGACCUUAAUCUAAUCUGAAGCAGCAUUGCC
rnacentral:lncRNA from 1 species